rnacentral:lncRNA from 1 species
UCUUUUCUUAAUUCAGUCUUUUAGUAGUUAUCAAUUUUUCUUCAUUAAGUGCAUUUCUGAAAAACUCAAUUUUGUUAUAAUUAUUAACAAAUUUUCAGAUUGUUAUAUGUAAAAGAUUAACCAUAUAUAAUUUGAUCUUAGUAUCUUGACAAUAAGUCAUUAGUUUCAUAGAGAAUAAGACGACUUGAUAUUUUUGCAACUAAAAUCUUUUCAUUGAAUAUUCUAUAUGCAUUGCUUGAUGAAUGAUAUCCAAGGAUAGACAUAUCUCUAUCAGAUUUGGCAUUAUUUUUCAUAAGAACAUAUCAAGCAUAACAUGUACGACUGAAAGAUAUGAAAGAUAUGCAAUGGUUCAUUUUCCAUUUUUCAGAAGAUCAAAAGGAGUUUUCAUCAAAAAUAGAUCUAAUAGAAAUCAUAUGUAUGUCAAGCAGUGAUGAUAGCUUUUU